rnacentral:rRNA from 1 species
UUAAGCGACUAAGCGUACACGGUGGAUGCCCUGGCAGUCAGAGGCGAUGAAGGACGUGCUAAUCUGCGAAAAGCGCCGGCGAGGUGAUAUGAACCCUUGACCCGGCGAUGUCCGAAUGGGGAAACCCAGUGCAAUCCGUUGCACUAUCGUUAACUGAAUACAUAGGUUAACGAGGCGAACCGGGGGAACUGAAACAUCUAAGUACCCCGAGGAAAAGAAAUCAACCGAGAUUCCCCCAGUAGCGGCGAGCGAACGGGGAGCAGCCCGGAGUCUGAAUCAGCUUGUGUGUUAGUGGAACGGUCUGGAAAGUCCGACGGUACAGGGUGAUAGUCCCGUACACGAAAGCACACUUGCUGUGAACUCGAAGAGUAGGGCGGGACACGUGGUAUCCUGUCUGAAUAUGGGGGGACCAUCCUCCAAGGCUAAAUACUCCUGACUGACCGAUAGUGAACCAGUACCGUGAGGGAAAGGCGAAAAGAACCCCGGCGAGGGGAGUGAAAAAGAACCUGAAACCGUGUACGUACAAGCAGUGGGAGCCUCUUUAUGGGGUGACUGCGUACCUUUUGUAUAAUGGGUCAGCGACUUAUAUUCUGUAGCAAGGUUAACCGUAUAGGGGAGCCGAAGGGAAACCGAGUCUUAACUGGGCGUUAAGUUGCAGGGUAUAGACCCGAAACCCGGUGAUCUAGCCAUGGGCAGGUUGAAGGUUGGGUAACACUAACUGGAGGACCGAACCGACUAAUGUUGAAAAAUUAGCGGAUGACCUGUGGCUGGGGGUGAAAGGCCAAUCAAACCGGGAGAUAGCUGGUUCUCCCCGAAAGCUAUUUAGGUAGCGCCUCGUGAACUCAUCUUCGGGGGUAGAGCACUGUUUCGGCUAGGGGGCCAUCCCGGCUUACCAACCCGAUGCAAACUACGAAUACCGAAGAAUGUUAUCACGGGAGACACACGGCGGGUGCUAACGUCCGUCGUGAAGAGGGAAACAACCCAGACCGCCAGCUAAGGUCCCAAAGUCAUGGUUAAGUGGGAAACGAUGUGGGAAGGCACAGACAGCCAGGAUGUUGGCUUAGAAGCAGCCAUCAUUUAAAGAAAGCGUAAUAGCUCACUGGUCGAGUCGGCCUGCGCGGAAGAUGUAACGGGGCUAAACCAUGCACCGAAGCUGCGGCAGCGACACUAUGUGUUGUUGGGUAGGGGAGCGUUCUGUAAGCCGUUGAAGGUGUGCUGUGAGGCAUGCUGGAGGUAUCAGAAGUGCGAAUGCUGACAUAAGUAACGAUAAAGCGGGUGAAAAGCCCGCUCGCCGGAAGACCAAGGGUUCCUGUCCAACGUUAAUCGGGGCAGGGUGAGUCGACCCCUAAGGCGAGGCCGAAAGGCGUAGUCGAUGGGAAACAGGUUAAUAUUCCUGUACUUGGUGUUACUGCGAAGGGGGGACGGAGAAGGCUAUGUCAGCCGGGCGACGGUUGUCCCGGUUUAAGCAUGUAGGCGGAGGUUCCAGGUAAAUCCGGUACCUUUUUAACGCUGAGGUGUGAUGACGAGGCACUACGGUGCUGAAGUGAUAAAUGCCCUGCUUCCAGGAAAAGCCUCUAAGCAUCAGGUAACACGAAAUCGUACCCCAAACCGACACAGGUGGUCAGGUAGAGAAUACCAAGGCGCUUGAGAGAACUCGGGUGAAGGAACUAGGCAAAAUGGUGCCGUAACUUCGGGAGAAGGCACGCUGAUAUGUAGGUGAAGCCCCUGCGGGCGGAGCUGAAAUCAGUCGAAGAUACCAGCUGGCUGCAACUGUUUAUUAAAAACACAGCACUGUGCAAACACGAAAGUGGACGUAUACGGUGUGACGCCUGCCCGGUGCCGGAAGGUUAAUUGAUGGGGUUAGCGGCAACGCGAAGCUCUUGAUCGAAGCCCCGGUAAACGGCGGCCGUAACUAUAACGGUCCUAAGGUAGCGAAAUUCCUUGUCGG